rnacentral:pre_miRNA from 15 species
UGAGCUCUCAAAGAGGCUGUGAAAUGCAUUUUGAAAGCUUUGCGAGCAUAUCACAGCCAGCUUUGAUGAGCUUAG